AUUGAACGCUGGCGGCAGGCCUAACACAUGCAAGUCGAACGAGUGGCGGACGGGUGAGUAAUGUCUGGGAAACUGCCCGAUGGAGGGGGAUAACUACUGGAAACGGUAGCUAAUACCGCAUACCAUCGGAUGUGCCCAGAUGGGAUUAGCUUGUAGGUGAGGUAACGGCUCACCUAGGGGAGGAGCCCUAGCUGGGUUGAGAGGAUGACAAGCAACACUGGAACUGAGACACGGUCCAGACGCCUACGGGAGGCAGCAGGGGGGAAUAUUGCACAAUGGGGGCAAGCCUGAUGCAGCCAUGCCGCGUGUAUGAAGAAGGCCUUCGGGUUGUAAAGUACUUUCAGCGGGGAGGCGUUACCCGCAGAAGAAGCACCGGCUAACUCCGUACCAGCAGCCGCGGUAAUAC
rnacentral:rRNA from 1 species